rnacentral:misc_RNA from 1 species
UCAGAUGGAAAUCAUUCAGUUACCUCCAUGUUUCUAAAAAUUUCAAACACGUCGCGGAAAGACUAAAUUACUUAUUCUAAACUAAGAAUAUCGGUAAUUUCUGACAUUAAGAACGCGUGAGCGAAAUUUCAGCUACCUUCAUCAGUCUCUUUUAGGCAUCCCAACAUGGCCAAAGUGUCCCACAAUGUGCAGCAGCGGCGUAUUGCCCGGAUUUUCUGGAGCUCCCCGUUUGGCGGUCUGGAAGAAGAAAGGGAGCUGCUGACCAAGAAAUACUGGCCACAGCUUGCUCACAUGUGUCAGAAGGCUGGCUAUGAGUAUGCUCCAGUUGACAUGAGAUGGGGCAUCACAUCGGAUCACUCAAAGCAAGCACUGACCAUAGAGAUUUGCCUUCGAGAGUUGGACCGUUCCGACAUGAUUGUUGGCUUUUUUGGCCAGAGGUACGGUUGGCACGGAAGCAAAGAUGAGAUGUUGCAGAAGACGUUUGACUAUGCUGUUUCUCGAUUUCCUUUCAUUGACAACUUCCGAGAUCGCUCGGUCACAGAGCUGGAGUUCCUUCACGGACACCUCAACAAACCUGGCGCCCGGGCAGCAAGUUUUUUCUUCCGAGAUAAGGCGUAUGAUGAUCAGAAACUGAAGGAAUAUGAGGCAGCUGGAGACGAGGGAAGUGCUCGCAAGUUUCGCCCAACCACCGACGGCCCUAAUGCUGCCCAGCAUUUGGAUGACCUGAAGCGUAGGGUCAUGGCCACAGAAGACAAAUGCCUUACCAUUCAUCCUAAUUAUGCCACACCAAGCGAGGGCGCCCGAAUGAUGUUCGAAACGGUCCACAGCUUCUUGGAGACGUUCCUGAAACCUCAGAAAGCCCUCUCCAGACUGGAGGCAGAGCGGCUGGAGCACCAUGCCUUUCUCCUUCAGAAGCUGGGAAUGGGGGGCAUGUACAUCGGAGGGGAGAAGUACCUGGAGACAGUGGACAACCACGUCUUGAAAGGCAGAAGUGGCUACAUAGACAAACAUUUACUGAUCAUUGGCGACCCAGGGAGUGGAAAGACCUGCUUGCUGGGUAACUGGCUCAUCAGACACCAGGAACGUUUCCCAGAGGAUGUCGUCGCAUAUCACGUGGUUGGAUGCUCCAGCAGCAGCACAAGCGUGAAAAACUUACUACAGAGGUUAUGCAAUGAUGUUGAAGACGCACUCUUUGAUUUCGAUGAUGUCCCCAUAUCAGGGAGGGUGUAUGCAGCUUUAAAAAAGGAAGAAAUCCGCGACCUUCGGCAAACAUUAAACGUCUUGGUUUCCAAGGCAACCAAGCGAAACAUGAGGGUGGUGUUCGUCGUUGAUGCACUUGACAUGAUAGAGAAAGCUGGAAAAACCAUGAAGACGCUUUACUGGCUGCCCAAGUUGCUGCCUGAUGCUGCUCACCUCAUCCUGUCCACUGUCUCUUCGGACACUGCCAACAUCCAGGAGCUGGUCGAGCAGAGAGGGUUCAACCAGCUGGAGAUGGUUCCGCUGAGUGAAGAUCUUCAGUCAGAGAUCACCAAGGCAAUGUUGAUUGUGAGAGGCAAGGAGCUGUCAUCCAAGCAGCAUGAGCGGGUCAUCAGCUGCAAGCUGACAGAGAACCCACUCUAUCUCAUGAUUCUGCUGAAGGAGCUGUGCAGUUUUGGCAGUUUCUUUGAGCUUGAUGACUAUAUUGACUCUCUCCUUGCUGCCAAGAGCGUCAAAGAUCUGUUUGUUAAGUUUUUGAAACGGCUGGAGAAGGAUUAUAAUGCUGCGGAGAAGCAAGACCUUGUGAAGGAGGUGAUGUGUUGCCUUCUUGUUGCCAGGCGUGGCUUGUCGGAAGGAGAGAUCAAGAGAAUUUUGGGAGUGUCUGAUCAAGUGUGGUCGACACUGUAUUUUGCUAUGAACGAAUUUGUGAUUGAGAGAUCGGGUUUGUACGUGUUAGCUUACAGUGAAUUAGCUGAGGCAGUGAGACAGCAUUUCUGCACUGAUUGCGAGCAAGAAAAACGGUUUAGUAGGCUUGUGGCUGACCAUUUCUUGGAUGCAUUUAAGGCCUUGAGCCCACGAUACCACAUCCAGAUACCUGACAGAAUCUUGAACGAGUUGCCAUGGUUACUGUACAAACUUGGCGCCAACGAUCAGCUCCAGCAGUGCCUGCUGAAUCUGGCCAUGUUCAGAGCUCUCUUCAGAGACCAGCACAAGUAUGACUUGGUAGAUUACUGGAACAGCACAGGUGCAUCGGGGCUCGAGAUCCAGCAGAUGUACAUGAAAGCCCUUGAUGAACAGGUAGCACUGCUGUAUACAGAUAGUACCAAGGAAACCGGUAACCCACCUGAGCCUUCCCCUGGCAAACAGCUGGUCUCUUUGGUGGGCAACAUCAGUGAUUUCCUGGAGGAGUCAGGGUAUCGGACCAUCCUAGAGCCACUGCUGCAACGGGCCAUUAGGAUGCUUCCUUUACAAGAUGAUAUACUGAGCGCCAGCCCUGACGAUAUCUCAAAGUAUUUGUUUUGCCAUAACCAUCUGGCUCGCUUCUACGCUGACGUUGAUAGAUUUGAGGAUGCCCUGGCUAUUCAUGAAAGACUGCUUGCUCUCAAAGAAAAACCGGAGAGUGGUGUCAGCUCCUCAGAGAAAGCAGUUACUGUAAACAACAUGGGCUUUGUACACCUCAAACUUGGUAACAAUGACAAAGCAUUGGACUUCUUCCAGCAAGCUUUGACCUUGCACAAGGAAUGCCUUAAUGGUGAUGACAUUCACGAGGUCAUAGCCACUGCUACCAACAACGUUGGCUCUGUUUUAGCAGUAAUGGGCCAUUAUGAUGAAGCUGCAGAAGUUCUCCAAAGAUCACUUGAAAUCUAUGAGGAACUCUACUUUGAUAGUCUCCCUCCGGAUGUCGGUGGAACCCUGCUUAACUUGGCCAAGUGUCACGUCCGAAAUCCAAACAAAACACCUGAGGAAGUGCAGGCGACAUAUCAGAGAGCCAUAGAGAUUCGAGCCAAUGCCUAUGGUCGCAACCAUCCGGAGGUAGCUCAGGUGUUGACAACGUACGGCUCAUACAUGCUGCGUCUUAAGCAGGUCGAUGAAGCACUAGAUAUGUACUUAGAAGCCCUGGACAUUUACACAGCUGCAUAUGGGCCAGAGGGAUCAGAAACUACCAUGGUGCAGGAGAAUGUGGCUCUAGCAUACAUCGUUAAAGAUCAGUAUGAAAAGGCUAUUCCUUACUUCAACGCGGCGGGUGAGACACUAUACAAACUGGGCCUGAUGGAUCGUUCCCUGGAAUCCCUAAACACAUCCAUGCUGCAGUACUAUGUGAAGCAAGGCCGGUUAGCAGAUGCCCAUCAUGUCCUGGAGCGGGUCAUCACGGCCCAGUUUGUCACCGAGGACAUGUUCGUCACGCUGGACCAGCUGGACGAACGUCUUCUCGGAGACCAGAGACCAAACAGACCCUUCCAGCACACCCUGGACUACGCUCUUCAAAAAUUUCCCAGCAGCAUGCGUGUCUUGGGUAGAAAGCUUGUACUCUUGGCAAGAGAGGGUGGGGCAGAGGCCCUGCUGGACAUCAUCAGGAAGAACCCAGAUGGGAAAGAUCCGCAGCUGUACAUGUACGCCUACAAGACAUUCGUGGAGAAUGGCCACCGAGACGAAGGUCAGAAGAUACUACUGGCUGCUGCUGAGCUGUUCCCCGAUGAUGUGAUCAUACUCGAAAAUCUGGCCAAGUGUCAUGGGUUUUACAAGCGUUACCCUGAAGCCGUGGCGGUCAUGCAGCAGCUUUUAGCUAUCCAACCUGGAGACAUGGAUCUGAUGAUCCUGGGAGCCAACUUGCUCGCCAUGAACAGCCAGCUGCAGGAAUCUAGGGAGAAGUUGCUAGCAGCACGACAAGUUGCUGCCGAGAACGAGGACCAAGGAAAUGUGGAUAGGGUAACAUCCAUUUUGAAGAAUAUUGAUGAAAUUAUUGCUUCGCAAUGUAACACAUAGUUUCUCUGUUUAGUGCCCCAGUUGUCAAAUGCUGAGAAAGGUACGAGUCAGGUAAUCGUAAAUCUGCCAGCAGCAUGGCUUUAAGCCUUCAUGGACGAGCAGCGUUCGUGCUUCAUCUCCACUACACAGCCUCCGAUGUAAACUCUCGUCGUUUCGCCUGUCGACCAACCAAUCAAU